rnacentral:rRNA from 1 species
AACGUAGGUUCCGAGCGUUAUCCGGAUUUACUGGGCGUAAAGCGCGUUCAGGCGGUCUGGCAAGUCGGGCAUGAAAUCUCUCGGCUCAACCGGGAGAGGUUGUCCGAUACUGUUAGACUGGAGGGCAGUAGAGGGUGGUGGAAUUCCGGGUGUAGUGGUGAAAUGCGUAGAGAUCCGGAGGAACACCAGUGGCGAAAGCGGCCACCUGGACUGCACCUGACGCUGAAACGCGAAAGCUAGGGGAGCGAACGGG